AACUACAACGGCACUAAUGAUCUCGAACCUGUACUUGCGCAGGGAAGUUCGCACUGAAAUUUUGAAGAGAUACUCUAACAGCGACCUACAAACCACUGUGCAGGUAAACAGUUGGAACCACUAAGUGUGCCCGCUGGUCUAUUCCAUCAGACCCACGCGCUGACUGUGCUCGAGUGUCUGUGUCUCUUCCUAGGCUGCUCCAUUGCCGACCGCCCUGCGCGUGUCUCGCGCAUUUUGUGCCUGGCGGCGCUAUGGCCACGUCAGACUAGGUGGUUGGGAUGGCCGUAGAGUGUGGCCCGAGGAAGGUGGCAGUCGCAGGCUUGCUUGCGGCUGUGUUAUAGCCUCGGGUCCGUGCCAUCGCCUAACGUGCUGGUCGGUAGAUUUAUUCCACCUGGAAUGUCGCUUGUAGAGGUUGUGGGUGCUGCUCGGCGUCGCGGUCGCUACAUCUGGUCGGACAUUUGCGUGUCUUUGGGCGCGUAAAGACGAUCUUAUGCCUGCGGUCUAGGCGUCGGUUGCAUGAGGCAGCUGUACAAACGGUGGCACGAGUAGGUCGGUCUCCACCCGACCCGUCUUGAAACACGGACCAAGGAGCCUAUCAUGUACGCGAGUCGCUCAGUCUUGCUUAGGCUUGGAAGCC
rnacentral:rRNA from 1 species